AGCGGCAGGCUUAAUACAUGCAAGUCGAGGGGUAACAGAAAGUGCUUGCACUUUGCUGACGACCGGCGCACGGGUGCGUAACGCGUAUGCAACCUACCUUUCACUGGGGGAUAGUCAAGAGAAAUUUUGAAUAAUACCCCAUACGAUCUUUUAAUAGCAUUAUUUUUAGAAGAAAAUUCCGAUGGUGAAAGAUGGGCAUGCGUCCUAUUAGUUUGUUGGUAAGGUAACGGCUUACCAAGACUUCGAUAGGUAGGGGCCCUGAGAGGGGGACCCCCCACACUGGUACUGAGACACGGACCAGACUCCUACGGGAGGCAGCAGUAAGGAAUAUUGGACAAUGGAGGAAACUCUGAUCCAGCCAUGCCGCGUGCAGGAAGACGGCCUUAUGGGUUGUAAACUGCUUUUAUACAGGAAGAAACCUUUGUACGUGUACAAAGCUGACGGUACUGUAAGAAUAAGGAUCGGCUAACUCCGUGCCAGCAGCCGCGGUAAUACGGAGGAUCCAAGCGUUAUCCGGAAUUAUUGGGUUUAAAGGGUCCGUAGGUGGUUUAUUAAGUCAGAGGUGAAAUACUGCAGCUUAACUGUAGAAAUGCCUUUGAAACUGAUAGACUUGAGUUAUUGUGAAGUAGUUAGAAUGUGUAGUGUAGCGGUGAAAUGCAUAGAUAUUACACAGAAUACCGAUUGCGAAGGCAGAUUACUAACAAUAUACUGACACUGAUGGACGAAAGCGUGGGUAGCGAACAGGAUUAGAUACCCUGGUAGUCCACGCCGUAAACGAUGGUCACUAGCUGUUUGAUGCACAUUGGUGUGUUGAGUGGCUAAGCGAAAGUGAUAAGUGACCCACCUGGGGAGUACGCUCGCAAGA
rnacentral:rRNA from 1 species